GGCCAGACUCCUACGGGAGGCAGCAGUAGGGAAUUUUCGUCAAUGGGCGCAAGCCUGAACGAGCAAUGCCGCGUGAGUGAGGAAGGUCUUCGGAUCGUAAAGCUCUGUUGCGGGGGAAAAAGGACAGGAAGAGGAAAUGCUUUCUGUUUGAUGGUACCCCGCCAGAAAGUCACGGCUAACUACGUGCCAGCAGCCGCGGUAAUACGUAGGUGGCGAGCGUUAUCCGGAAUGAUUGGGCGUAAAGGGUGCGCAGGCGGCAUGUCAAGUCAAGGGUGAAAUCCCCGCGCUCAACGUGGGAACUGCCUUUGAAACUGGCAAACUGGAGUGUGUGAGAGGAUAGUGGAAUUCCAGGUGUAGGAGUGAAAUCCGUAGAUAUCUGGAGGAACAUCAGUGGCGAAGGCGACUAUCUGGCACAUAACUGACGCUGAGGAGCGAAAGCGUGGGUAGCAAACAGGAUUAGAUACCCGCGUA
rnacentral:rRNA from 1 species